CACACCUGUACUGAUAUCUAGAGAAGAUUCCUCCUUUGUGAUGGUCACCGUCAUUUCAGCUUCCUUCAUAGACAGUUGAUUUUCCCUCACAUGCGUCUCUUCUUCCGCUUUAACCUCAGUUUUCAUAUCAAACACAUUUUAC